UGGGGAAUCUUGGACAAUGGGCGCAAGCCUGAUCCAGCCAUGCCGCGUGAGUGAAGAAGGCCUUAGGGUUGUAAAGCUCUUUUACCAGGGACGAUAAUGACGGUACCUGGAGAAUAAGCCCCGGCAAACUUCGUGCCAGCAGCCGCGGUAAUACGAAGGGGGCUAGCGUUGUUCGGAAUUACUGGGCGUAAAGCGCACGUAGGCGGGUCGUUAAGUCAGGGGUGAAAUCCCGGAGCUCAACUCCGGAACUGCCUUUGAUACUGGCGAUCUAGAGAUCGAGAGAGGUGAGUGGAAUUCCGAGUGUAGAGGUGAAAUUCGUAGAUAUUCGGAAGAACACCAGUGGCGAAGGCGGCUCACUGGCUCGAUACUGACGCUGAGGUGCGAAAGCGUGGGGAGCAAACAGG
rnacentral:rRNA from 3 species